ensembl:lncRNA
CUAUGGUUACUAUUAUGCAAGUGUUUGGGUUUGGCUAGGGUUACUAUUAUGCAAGUGUUUGAGUUUGGCUAGGGCUACUAUAAUGCAAUGGUUAGGGUUUGGCUAGGGUUACUAUUAUGAUUCUGUUAGGGUUGAUCUAGGUUUACAAUUAUGCUAGGGUUACUAUUGUGCUAGAGAUAAGGUUUGGCUAGGGUUACUAUUAUACUAGUGUUAGUGCUGAGUUAGGUUUACUAUUAUACUAUGGUUAGGGUUGGGGUAGGGUUCCUGUUGUUCUAGUGUCAGGGUUUGUUUAGGGUUAAUAUAAUACGAGUGUUGGGGUUUGGCUAGGGUUACUAUAAUGCGAGUGUUAGGGUUUGGCCAGGGUUACUAUAAUGCGAGUGUUAGGGUUUGGCUAGGGUUAUUAUAAUGUGAGUGUUAGGGUUUGGUUAGGGUCACUAUUUUGCUAGGGUUAGCAUUGGGCUAGGGUUACUAUUAUGCUGGUGUUCUGCUUGCGCUAGGGUUACUAUUAUGCAAUCGUUAGGAUUUGGCUAGGGUUAGUAUUGUGUGUGUGUUAUGGUUUGGCUAGGGUUACUAUUUUGUGAGUGUUAGGGUGGGACUAGGGUUACUUUAAUGCUAGUGUUAGGGUUGGGCUAGGGCUACUAUAAUGCAAGUGUUAGGGUUUGGCUAGGGGUACUAUAAUGAAAGUGGUAGGGUUUGGCUAGGGUUACUUUAAUGCAAGUAUUAGGGUUGGGCUAGGGUUACUAUUAUGCAAGUGUUUGGGUUUGGCUAGGAUUACUAUAAUGCUAAUGUUAGGAUUUUGUCUACGGUUACUAUUAUGCUAGUGUUAUGUUUGGGCAAGGGUUACUAUUAUGCUUGGGUUAGGGUUGGGCUAGGGCUACUAUAAUGCAAUGGUUAGGGUUUGGCUAGAGUUACUAUUAUGAUACUGUUAGGGUUGGUCUAGGGUUACUAUUGUGCUAUAGUUAAGGUUUGGCCAGGGUUACUAUAAUGCGAGUGUUAGGAUUUGGCUAGUUUUACUAAUGUGCUAGUUAGGGUUGGGCUAGUGUUACUAUUAUGCUAGUUUUAGGGUUGGUCUAGGGUUACUAAUGUGCUAGAGUUAGGGUUUGGCUAGGGUUACCAUAAUGCGUGUGUUAGUUUUGGGAUGGGUUUACUAUUAUGUUAGAGUUAGGGUUGGGCUAGGGCUACUAUAAUGCAAUGCGUAGGGUUUGGCUAGGGUUACUAUUAUGCUAGGGUUAAGGUUGAUCUAAGUUUACAAUUAUGCUAGGGCUACUGUUGUGCUAGAGAUAAGGUUUGGCCAGGGUUACUAUAAUGCAAGUGUUAUGGUUUGGCUAGGGUUACUAAUGUGCUAGAGUUAGGGUUGGGCUAGGGCUACUAUAAUGCAAUGGAUAGGGUUUGGCUAGGGUUACUAUUAUGCUAGGGUUAGGGUUGAUCUAGGUUUACAAUUAUGCUAGGGUUACUACUGUGCUAGAGAUACGGUUUGGCUAGGGUUACUAUAAUACUAGUGUUAGGGUUGCGCUAUUGUUACUAUUGUUCUAAUGUCAGGUGUUGGCUAGGGUAACUCAAAAGCGAUGGUUUGGGUUUGGCUAGUGUUUCUAUUUUGAUAGUGUUAGGGUUGGUCUAGGGUUACUGUAAUGCGAGUGCUAUGGUUUGAUAGGGUUACUUUAAUGUAAGUGUAAGGAUUUGGCUAGGUUUACUAUUAUGCUAGUGUUAGUGUUGGGUUAAGUUAACUAUUAUAACAGGGUUAGGGUUUGGGUAGGGUUACUGUUUUUGUAGUUUUAGGGUUUGGCUAGGGUUAGUAUAAUAAGACCGUUGGGGUUUGGCUAGGGCUACUAUAAUGCGAGUGUUAGGGUUUGGCUUGGGUUACUAUUAUGCUAAUGUUAUGGUUGGGCAAGGGUUACUAUUAUGCUAGGGUUAGUGUUACGCUCGGGUUACUAUUAUGAUAGUGUUAGGGUUGGUCUUUGGUUACUAUUGUACUAUAGUUAAGGUUUGGCCAGGGUUACUAUAAUGUGAGUGUUAGGGUUUGGCCAGGGUUACUAUUAUGCUAGUGUUAGGGUCUGGCUAGGGUUACUAUAAUGCGAGUGGUAGGGUUUGGCUAGGGUUACUUAAUGCAAUCAAGCACAGUAAUAUCAUGGUCAGCAAACCAGUUACUCAUAGUUUUGGCACUGUGGACAGGUGCUAAGUCUUGCUGGAAAAGAAAAUCAGCAUCUCCUUAAAGCUUGUCCGCAGUUGGAAGGAUGAAGUGCUCUAAAGUCUCCUGGUAGAUAGCUGCAUUGACUCUUUACUUGAGAAAACCCAGUGGACCAACACCAGCAGAUAACAUGGCACCCCAAAUAAUCACUGACUGUGGAAACUUCUCACUGGACUUCGAUUCUGUGACUCUCCACUCUUCCUCCAGACUCUGGGACCUCGAUUUCCAAAUGAAAUGCAAAUUUACUUUCAUCUUCCCCACAAUUGUGUUUGUG